AGCGAUGGCCGCCUUGCGAGGUGCUGCAUGGUUGUCGUCAGCUCGUGCCGUGAGGUGUCGGGUUAAGUCCCAUAACGAGCGCAACCCCUAACCUGCUAGUUGCCAGCGGGUCAUGCCGGGGACGUCUAGCGGAACUGCCAGCGUAAGCUGCGAGGAAGGUGGGGAUGACGUCAAAUCAGCACGGCCCUUACGUCCAGGGCUACACACGUGUUACAAUGGCCGGUACAGAGGGCAGCCACCCCGCGAGGGGGCGCGAAUCCCGAAAGCCGGUCCCAGUUCGGAUCGGAGUCUGCAACCCGACUCCGUGAAGCUGGAUUCGCUAGUAAUCGCGCAUCAGCCACGGCGCGGUGAAUACGUUCCCGGGCCUU
rnacentral:rRNA from 1 species